rnacentral:lncRNA from 10 species
CAGACUCCUGGGAGCGCCACAUGUCAUGAGGCUUACGGACAGAGGUUAAAACAGCUUUUACCAAAGAACAUGCCAUUGCAGCUAACUUUCUGCUCAUGGACAUGAGGAGUAUGCUAGGAGGGAAGAGAGACACCAGAUGCUUCAGGAAAUAGACAACAGGACACUGUUACCUAGGAUGUAGGUAAACAUUCCAGCUUGCCCCUGUGCUCCUGGACCAAACUCCUUCAGGACACCCAUGAUUACGUGUGCCCACCAGAUGCUAAGGGAUUACAAAGAACGAAAGGAGGUUACAACUUAGCUAGACAGAAGAAAGGAAGAGUAUACAACACAGCGCAGUCUAGGUGAACAGAGCUGAAGAAGGGUGGUGUAGUAGUUCCUGUUCCUUUCCUGCCUCACUUCCUGGCCUCAAGUGAUCUACCUGCCUGGGCCUCCCAAAGUGCAGGAUUACAGCUGAUGACUCCCAGAAUGUCCUGACUGCAAGGAACAUGUACUAUGGACCCAUCAGAAGUGAGCUCAUUUUCUAAACAUCUGUGUUGCCAACAGGCACACACCUAAAGUUUCCUCCUAUGGCCACCUGUGGAUCACCCUGACCUUCAAAGCUGGUAGCCAAAGUUCUGCUUCCACCCCCACCAUCUGCAAGGUGGCACUUUUCAGUCUUGAUGGAUAAAUGUUAAAAAUCACAACCAACAAUUCUUAAUCAUCCCUAUGAUUUUCAAAGGAAAACGCUACUGUAUUGUCAAACUUUUUCUCUACAGGCUAAAAUAAAAAUAAAUGACUACUGAAAAAA